UAAAUGAAACAUGAAUUUGUCCGCAGCC
rnacentral:piRNA from 1 species